UACAGUGAAUGAUUUGUUACUUUAUUUUAGAGAAUUUGAAUGAGGAUGCUGAAUUAUUUCAAAAACAAGGUUCCCAAUUGAGGCAAAAAUAUAGGAACAAAAAUUAUAAGUUGUGGGCAAUCCUUAUUUGCAUAAUAUUGAUUAUUGUUCUGGCAAUUGCUGGAGUAGUUGCUGGAUUAUUAGGAUGUCAUUUUCAUAAAAAUUGCUCACUAUAACUGUUAUAAUUGAUGAGUUUAUAUAAAACUGUUAUCAUUGUCCUCUGUAUAUAACAA